CUGGAAGGAGAUGCAAGCUCCGGUGAGAAGUGAAACACAAAGGAACCCGGAGGGACUGGAGCUGUGGGCAGGAAGCGACAAUGCAAACCAGCCCCUGAUGAAUGCAGUUUCUCUCUUGUGGGAGAAUAACCCCAAAGCUGAAUUCAAUGGGAGUGAAACACCUGGAGAGCAAUAGCCUUGGGCAGAAAGCACUCGGCGUACCAGCUUGCUGUUUCCAAGUGGAGGAAUGGGUGGUCUUGGCUGGGCCUGCAGCUCUACCAGUUUUUCUUGGGUGAAGUAGCUCCUUGUGAACAUGGAAACCCCAAUAUGCCUGGGAGAGUCACCUUCCAGAGAUGUCGGAAGCAACAUCUACGAGAUGUGAUGAUGCUAGAGACAAAAACCAUCUGGGUAAGUGGAAAUCUGUAGAGACAGAGGCAAAGAGGCACUUUGCAUACUCCAAAAACAGCAGCAUCAAGGGCUUUGCUGAGCUGGCUUCCUGACCGAGUCAGCUGCUCUUUCCGGAGGACCUCUACAUGCUGGUUUGCUUUGGCGAGGAUAUCUGCAGAGCUGUCGCUUGCAGCCAGUCUCCCCAGGGACUUCAUUCUACGGGGGCCAGCACAGCUGUCCCUCUCUGAGCUGAAGUUCAGGCCCAUAUUGUGUCCUGCAGGAGCUGUGCAUGGGCUGCUGCUGCGGGCUGGCCAUGGGCAGGGAGUCAGGCUGGAGGGCAAGAAGCCCUUUGCUGUGGGGCCGGGCACUCCAGGACCAGACCUGGGUGGUGGAGAGGAGGGCUCCCAGGGUCUGCUGGCAGCUCCCAGCUUCCCACGGACUGUCUCUGAAGGAGCUCAGGAAGGAUUGAUGGCACCGGGUGCCUUUCCUAGACCAAAGUCCCAUCACUCAGAAGACGUUAGACAUUGUCUGGCGUGACACUCUGCUCUCUGGCACUGACCGGGGCGGCCUGCUGACUGCAAAUCUGCUGGGUCCACAGGCAAAUUAUCCGCACAUCAGCACAUUUAAGAGAAAUUAAUUUCCCUGCAGGAGCGAAGAAGAAAGUCUCUUCCAAAUCAGAGUCCAGCUCACAGUGUCUGCUAUGAAAUGCGGUGACAAUCUCGUGUGUGCCAUGCAGAGAGGGACCAGCACCGCACCUGGAGACACAGCCAAGCCAGCAGGCAGGAAAAUCACAACAAAACAUGGAAAAAGAGACUCUGGUAGCCUGCCUUUAAAGUUAGUUACAGAGGGCUGGGAGCCCUGAGGGUGUUUGAGGUUUCCCUUUGCAGUCUGUGCAAGGACACAGAAGCUCUGUGAAGAAGCAGUGAUGGGGAGAAAGGGGUCACAGGUGUGUGGGUGAGGAGGGAAGUAUUUAUAAUAAAUCUGCUAUAAUCUAA